UACAUAGGGGGCAAGCGUUGUCCGGAAUUACUGGGCGUAAAGGGCGCGUAGGCGGCCUGUUAAGUCGAAUGUGAAAUCCCCGGGCUCAACCCGGGAACUGCGUCCGAUACUGGCAGGCUUGAAUCCGGGAGAGGGAUGUGGAAUUCCAGGUGUAGCGGUGAAAUGCGUAGAUAUCUGGAGGAACACCGGUGGCGAAGGCGGCAUCCUGGACCGGUAUUGACGCUGAGGCGCGAAAGCCAGGGGAGCAAACGGG
rnacentral:rRNA from 1 species